rnacentral:lncRNA from 1 species
UUACCAGCUUGGUGAAAGGGGUUCAAUUGUCUUUUGAUGCAAAAAAGCUGGGUGAAAUCCUUGGUAUACCUUCUAAAGGUUAUGAUGACUACACAAGGCAAAAGUGUCCAAGUGUGUACUACCUUCCUACAUCCCUAGCCAUUACUGAGAAAUGUUGUGAUAGAAAAGAACUAAAUGAGGCUAAGGUUGUGUAUAAGAGUGAAAUGAAGCCAUCCCACAAGGCGUUGUUGGAAUUUGUCAACUAGUGUGUGAUGCCUAGG